rnacentral:lncRNA from 1 species
UAGUAUAUCUAUGUCAUCACUUCCUGUCGCCAUCGUAUUUAUUAUUUGUGUUUCUACACUUGUCAAGUUUUCAAAAUGAAUCGUUUAUUUGGAAGGGCCAAGCCCAAGGAACCUCCGGCAAAUUUAAAUGAUUGCAUUAGUAAUAUUGAUUCUAGAGGUGAAUCAAUAGACAAAAAAAUCAAUAGAUUGGAUAUGGAAUUGAAGAAAUACAAAGAUCAAAUGAAAAAGAUGCGAGAAGGGCCUUCCAAGAAUACUGUAAAGCAAAAGGCUAUGCGAGUAUUGAAACAAAA